AUGCAUUACUAAAUCACAGCCUAACAACUUUCUUCUAUCAUUCCUUCAGAUAACUAUCAAAUUUGGCAACCAAAUAUAACAAGCAGUUAGCAUCUGUAAUAAAUGAAGGGAAAGGUGCACUCUUCUAAUCUACGAUUGUCGCAUGACCUGUUUGUAUUGCUGAGUCCAGAUUACAUGCAUACCUGGUGUAUAUAUUCUGAAUUCCGUCUUUCCUCCAAUAAAGUUCAUCAUGUGUAAAAGAAACAACUCGGAAGGGUAUGUUCUGCCUGCAUGAGGAUUGUUACGAUCAUAUGCAUCAUUCAUUAAGACAAAAAAACUUAUGAAUAAUCAGACAUAUCUACAGUAUGUGCCAUGUUAAAUGAAGCCCGUACAUAUGUGACAGAUCAUAAUAAUUCUUAGGUUGACAAAUCACAUCUUCCUAAAUUUAUAUGCACCACGUGGUUACAACAUUGAAGAAAAUGAAGGCCUAGCAUACUCUGUUAUAUGCAGAAGCAUCAAAAUUGGCACCAUGAGCAUAGCUCAAGUUACAAACAUAAGCUCCUAAACAUGUUCCCUACCUACUAUGAACAUAAAAAAAUAAUCUACUAAGCUCCCUUCUUUCCUAAAAUAGAUAAAUGAAGCUUUGCAUACAAUUUAUUGAUUAAACACUCAGAUAGAACUUGACACUUCGAAUCUUUCAAGUCAAUCAAAUUAGCCAAGCCAUUAAACGAAAAUAGAAUCCAGUAGUAACAUAACAAGUCAUCACAGCCACA
rnacentral:lncRNA from 1 species